GACGAACGCUGGCGGCGUGCCUAAUACAUGCAAGUCGAGCGCAGGAAACUGACGGAACUCUUCGGAGGGAAGGCAGUGGAAUGAGCGGCGGACGGGUGAGUAACACGUAAGGAACCUGCCUCAAGGAUUGGGAUAACUCCGAGAAAUCGGAGCUAAUACCGGAUAGUUCAACGGACCGCAUGGUCCGCUGAUGAAAGGCGCUCCGGCGUCACCUUGAGAUGGCCUUGCGGUGCAUUAGCUAGUUGGUGGGGUAACGGCCCACCAAGGCGACGAUGCAUAGCCGACCUGAGAGGGUGAUCGGCCAAACUGGGACUGAGACACGGCCCAGACUCCUACGGGAGGCAGCAGUAGGGAAUCUUCCACAAUGGACGAAAGUCUGAUGGAGCAACGCCGCGUGAGUGAUGAAGGUUUUCGGAUCGUAAAACUCUGUUGUAAGGGAAGAACACGUACGAGAGGUAAUGCUCGUACCUUGACGGUACCUUACGAGAAAGCCACGGCUAACUACGUGCCAGCAGCCGCCGUAAUAC
rnacentral:rRNA from 1 species